rnacentral:lncRNA from 1 species
GCUUAAAUAAUACUAUGUUCGCAUGAUACUACACUUCUACUGUAAACAAGAAAGCCAGAGUGUAGUACUUAUCAUCCUUUCUGUGAUGUGAGAAAUAGAGCUAUGAAAUGUAGCAUGCCUUAGUAUUAGCUGAUUCAUUACAAAGUAUAUGCAAUAAAAUUGCAACAAAAUAACUAAAAGGUUGAGGCCACAAUAAAGUCCUUGACUAGUAGAUUUUUGCAGUUGCAACAUCUUGGAUGAAAUGGACAUGUUGGUGGAUCAGAUUUUGCUUUGGACCCAAAUGUUUGUGUUUUUUCUGUGGAGCCAAGAGGAAGCUUUCAGAGAGGCUGUUACUGCAUAACUGAUUAUGAUCAUUCUUAGAUUUGUAGUUUCUGCUGUAAAAUAGCAGCAAUUAGCAACAAAUAGGGUUAGCUGAGAAGGAGAAAGGAAAAUCAGAACAGGAAUAAUUGAUGACAAUUUGCUGAAGAUUCUUUUGAAUGUU